GUGCUCACUUCAGAAGCACAUAUACUAAAAUUGGAAUGAUACAGAGAAGAUUAGCACGGUCCCUGCACAAGGAUGAUGUAAAAAGGACAACAGACUAUGGAAAUAGAA